rnacentral:rRNA from 1 species
UACGUAGGGAGCAAGCGUUAUCCGGAUUUAUUGGGUGUAAAGGGUGCGUAGACGGGAAUGCAAGUUAGUUGUGAAAUCCCUCGGCUUAACUGAGGAACUGCAACUAAAACUACGUUUCUUGAGUGCUGGAGAGGAAAGUGGAAUUCCUAGUGUAGCAGUGAAAUGCGUAGAUAUUUGGAAGAACACCGAUGGCGAAGGCGACUUUCUGGACAAUAACUGACGUUGAGGCACGAAAGUGUGGGGAGCAAACAGG